rnacentral:rRNA from 1 species
ACGGGCAUUGCCCAGUACGGCGAGUGAAGCGGCAAAAGCUCAAUUUUGAAAUCCCCCCGGGGAGUUGUAAUUUGAAGACUAGGGGAUUUGGCCCAAACCUGCGCAAGUCCAUUGGAACAUGGCGCCCAAGAGGGUGAGAGCCCCGUCGCGCAGGCCGCAGCCUUGACAUCCCCCCGUCAAAGAGUCGAGUUGUUUGGGAAUGCAGCUCAAAGUGGGUGGUAAAUUCCAUCUAAAGCUAAAUAUUGGCGAGAGACCGAUAGCGAACAAGUACAGUGAUGGAAAGAUGAAAAGCACUUUGAAAAGAGAGUGAAACAGUACGUGAAAUUGUUGAAAGGGAAGGGCUUGCAAGCAGACACGAGUUCGCUCGGGCCAGCAUCAAUUUCGCGAGGUGGACAACACGCCAGGAAUGUGGCAGGCUCCGGCCUGUGUUAUAGCCUGCGCGCCAUACACCUCCGCGAGAUUGAGGCCUGCUCCAAAAGGAUGCUGGCGUAAUGGUUGCAAGUCGCCCGUCUUGAAACACGGACACAAAAAA